rnacentral:rRNA from 1 species
UGCGAAGGGGGCUAGCGUUGUUCGGAAUUACUGGGCGUAAAGCGCGCGCAGGCGGUCCUUCAAGUCAGAGGUGAAAGCCCAGGGCUCAACCCUGGAACUGCCUUUGAAACUGGAGGACUUGAGUACGGGAGAGGUGAGUGGAAUUCCGAGUGUAGAGGUGAAAUUCGUAGAUAUUCGGAAGAACACCAGUGGCGAAGGCGGCUCACUGGCCCGUUACUGACGCUCAGGCGCGACAGCGUGGGGAGCAAACAGG